rnacentral:rRNA from 1 species
AGUGAACGCUGGCGGUAGGCCUAACACAUGCAAGUCGAACGGCAGCACAGUAAGAGCUUGCUCUUACGGGUGGCGAGUGGCGGACGGGUGAGGAAUACAUCGGAAUCUACUUUUUCGUGGGGGAUAACGUAGGGAAACUUACGCGAAUACCGCAUACGACCUGCGGGUGAAAGCAGGGGAUCUUCGGACCUUGCGCGAUUGAAUGAGCCGAUGUCAGAUUAGCUAGUUGGCGGGGUAAAGGCCCACCAAGGCGACGAUCCGUAGCUGGUCUGAGAGGAUGAUCAGCCACACUGGAACUGAGACACGGUCCAGACUCCUACGGGAGGCAGCAGUGGGGACUAUUGGACAAUGGGCGCAAGCCUGAUCCAGCCAUACCGCGUGGGUGAAGAAGGCCUUCGGGUUGUAAAGCCCUCUUGUUGGGAAAGAAAAGCAGCAGGUUAAUACCCCGCUGUUCUGACGGUACCCAAAGAAUAAGCACCGGCUAACUUCGUG